GGUCAAGCUACAAAGGGCUGAUGGCGAUACCUAGGCACACAGAG
rnacentral:rRNA from 1 species